UCCCUCCUUCUACAUAUCUUAUCUAUAUAAGAUAAUUAGCUAUAGUGGUCCGUUUUGUUUGUUUCUAAAUUUGCAUAAACUUUAAAGGUGUAGAGAGGAGGUCUUCUUGGGCUUUUUUACCAUCAGAUAUUUCUCUUUCACAAACAAAAAGACAAAAGAAGGUGGAGUAAUUAUAAGCUUUCUUGUCCUCUAUAAACUGAUUU